AUGCUGGAGGGAGGGGGAGUGGGAGGAGCAGGGGCGGAGCUCCCAGAACAAAGGCGAAUGGGGAGCCCUGGGGGCCCAGGCUGGGUAUCAAAAAGGCUCUGCAGAGUGAGCAGGCCACAGCUCUGCACCCAGCAGUCAGACAGCCUUCGCCUGGUCCCUCCAGCUUGCCAACAGCGGGCACCCAGCAACAGUCUGCUUAGAGAAGCCUUGCUCUCCAGCGUGAUUGCGCUGACACUGAUCUGUGGCUUUCUCUACCUGCUGUGGGUUGUUGCUGCCGUUCCAGAAGGGAGCAGAGGGAUGGCCGGGAGCGGAGUCAGGAGCCGGGAGCGUGCCUUCGUCCCAGAGCCUUUCGAUGGAGCCAGUGUGGCCCCACACCUCUGGCUGCAUCGCUUUGAGGUCAUCAACCACCUCAACCGCUGGGACCACAUCACCAAGCUGAGGUUCCUGAAAGAGUCCCUCAGGGGAGACGCCCUGGGGGCCUUCAAUGGUCUCAGUCCCGAGGACCAGGGAAACUACGGGGCUGUGAAAGAGACCCUCCUGAAGACCUUCGGGGGGCCUGAGGCUGCCCACAGCCACCUGCCCAAGGAGAUCGUCUUUGCCAACAGCAUGGGUAAGGGCUACUACCUCAAAGGGAAAAUUGGCAAAGUACCCGUGAGGUUCCUGGUGGACUCCGGGGCCCAGGUCUCCGUGGUCCACCCAAGCUUGUGGGAGGAGGUCACCGAUGGCGACUUGGAUACGCUGCGGCCCUUUGAAAAUGUGGUGAAAGUGGCCAACGGGGCCGAAAUGAAGAUCUUGGGCGUCUGGGAUACAGCGGUGUCCCUGGGCAAGCUGAAGCUGAAGGCAGCCUUCCUAGUGGCCAACGCGAGUGCAGAGGAAGCAAUCAUUGGCACCGACGUGCUCCAGGACCACAACGCCGUCCUGGACUUCGAGCACCGCACGUGCACACUUAAAGGGAAGAAGUUCCGCCUUCUGCCAGUGGGAGGGUCCCUGGAAGAUGAGUUCGACCUGGAGCUCAUAGAGGAGGAGCCCUCCUCAGAGGAGCGGGAGCAGCAGCUCUCUUGUUGA
rnacentral:lncRNA from 1 species